UACGUAGGGGGCAAGCGUUGUCCGGAUUAUUGGGCGUAAAGAGCGUGUAGGCGGCUUUACAGGUCCGUUGUGAAAACUCGAGGCUCAACCUCGAGACGCCGGUGGAAACCGUAAGGCUAGAGUCCGGAAGAGGAGAGUGGAAUUCCUGGUGUAGCGGUGAAAUGCGCAGAUAUCAGGAGGAACACCCGUGGCGAAGGCGGCUCUCUGGGAGCGGUACUGACGGCUGAGACGCGAAAGCGUGGGGAGCGAACAGG
rnacentral:rRNA from 1 species